rnacentral:lncRNA from 1 species
CGCGUGAGAGAAUGUGUGUGUGUCUCUGAGAGCCACAGCAAGGCAAUCUCUUUCUGUAGCACUUUUCUUUCUUUUUUUUGCUGAAGAAGACUGGCCCUGAGCUAACAUCCAUGCUCAUCUUCCUCUACUUUGUAUGUGGGAUGCCUGCCACAGCAUGGCUUGCCAAGCGGUGCCAUGUCCGCACCGGAAUCCAAACCCACCAACCCCGAGCCGCUGAAGUGGAACCUGCAGACUUAACUGCUGCACCACCGGGCGGGCCCCUGUAGCAUUUUUCUUUAGAUUAUUUUCUCCAAAGGAAAAGAAGAGAAAAGGCAACAUCUAGGCCACACCCACUGGUGGGCCUGGAUGUCCCAGCCGUGUCAGGGGCACAGUCUGCAGGUUCUGCCACCUUUUUAAUGGAUCACCUCCAUGUGCCAGGCACCGAGCUCCGUGUUUUCCACGCAUGUGCAUAUUUCAUCUUCACAACUGGUCACGGGAGAUAUUUCCUCAUUUUAUAAAUGAGAAAAUGGAGGCCGGGCAGAGCUGAUGCUACCGUGUGGCGAGCGAGCCUGACCCUCCGUCCGGCUCUGGGAGGCCCAGGCGAUGGCACAGCCAGCUUCCUCUCCAGCACAGAGGCCGAGGACAGGCUGGUUCUUUCUUCCCUUCCCUCUUGCAGGGUUGUGAUCCAGGUCCAAAGAAACUAGGAGGGGUCAGGAAUUCCCGAGUUACAAAAAUGGCUUUGUUUGAAAGAUUUCCCGCCUUUGGAGCAGUUACAGGGCUUGUUCCUUCCUAUGACUGCAGGGGGUUGGACAUCACCAAGGGGGGCUGCUCCCGGUGGCAUUCCCAGGGCUCAAGAGGAGAUGCACAGGCUUGUCCCGGGUGUUGCAAAAGCUGGGAGGAGCGGAGAGGAGGAGGAGAGAAGAAAACUCCAGAAAAAGCUUCAGAAAAGCCCCGCCGGUUUCCUGGGCCCUGAGAGAAUUCCAGCAGCGAGCGGGCGCUGUGGCCACCCCGCCCUGGCGGAGGAGAGGCCGGUGGCAGAGGGGCUGCCCCUGCCCCAAACCCCGCCCCUGGGAGGGGUGUUCAUAGCAGGGGUCCCCCAAUAAUAACGCUGCUGCUGCUGAAUUGUAUCUUGCGUUUGUGGCGUCCUUUGCCAUUUUCAAAAUACUCACCCCCGGUUCUCCCAGCUCUGAAAAUGGGGCAAUCGCAUUGCCUUUGCAGAGUCCGAAGAGUCGUUCGUAAGGAAGCACGGCCUCGCCCGGCGUGAGAAAUCGCCCGGGCAACGACGGCCCCUUAGGAGGCCUCUGCCCACCCCGCCCUCCCGAGUCUGCAGUCUCCGUGGUCGCUGCGGGACUUUCCCCAACACGCCAGCAUGGCAGGAACCAGUUUCCCGGCUGCUGUUCGGCAGUGGUUUGAAAACUCUAAGCUAAGGUGAGGACUGAGAAGCAACCCUUGGUUUUGGCAACGUCAGGGUCAUUGGCCAACAGUUUACCUUGAAAACCUGACUGGAG